AAGACUCUCGGCACCAAAUAUCUCGACUCUGGCAUCGAUGAAGAACGUAGUGAAAUGCGAUACUUGGUGUGUAUUGCAGAAUCCCAUGAACCAUCGAGUCUUUAAAUGCAAGUUGUGCCCGAAGCAAUUAGGUCGAGGGCAUGCCUGCCUAGGUAUUGCACAUCGUUGCCCCAUGCCUUGGCCCCGUGCUAGGCACCAAGCGGGGCGAAUGUUGGCUUCCUGCAAGUAAUGUCUCACGGUUGGUUGAAAACUGAGUCCACGGUGGAGGGCACUGUGAUGGAUGGUGGCUGAGCUAAUGCUUGAGACUGAUCGUGCGUGUCACUCCCACCAGCUUUGCAACUCUUUGAUCCAUGGGAAUAUGUUGGCCUCCUAAUACGGGAACAUCAGGUCAAGCGGGGCUACCCGCUGAGUUUCAGUAUAUCAAUAAGUGGAGGAAGAGAAACUAACAAGGAUUCCCUUAGUAGUGGCGAGCGAACCGGGAAAAUCCAACCAUGAGAAUCAGUUGCCCUCGAUGUCUGAAUUGUAGUAUGGAGAAGCGUCCUCAACGGCGGACUGAGCCCAAGUCCCCUAGAAGGGGGCGUCGGAGAGGGUGAGAGGCCCGUCGUGCCCAGACCUUGUUGCAGCAUGAGGCGCUAUCAGCGAGUCGGGUUGUUUGGGAGUGCAGCCCCAAUCGGGUGGUAAAUUCCGUUGAAGGCUAAAUUGAGGCGAGAGACCGAUAGUGAACAAGUACCGUAGGGGAAAGAUGAAAAGGACUUUGAAAAGAGAGUCAAAGACUGCUUGAAAUUGUCGAGAGGGAAAGGGAUGGGGGCCGGUAAUGUGCCUCGGUCGGAUGUGGAAGGGCGAGAGCCGAUCCACCAAUCGACUUGGGACAAUGACCAACGCGAAUUGUGAUGGUGGCCCAAGAUUGGGCUAUUGACAUGCUCGUGAAGACGUCAUCAUCGUGAUUGUGUUAGGAAGUGUGCGUCGUUUCGUGUGCUUCGGCUCCUGCAUGCUCCGAGCGUCGGCCUGCAGGCUCCAUAUUCGACCCAUCUUGAAACACGGAACAAGGAGUUUGACAUGUGUGCGAGUUAGAGGACAAGUAAACCCCUAAGGCACAAUGAAGCUGAUUGGUGGGAUCCCCUUGUGGGUGGCACCGUUGACCGACCCUGAUCUUCUGUGAAGGGUUUGAGUGAUAGCAUACCUGUCGGAACCCGAAAGAUGGUGAACUAUGCCUGAGCGGGGCGAGGCCAGUGGAAACUCUGGUGGAGGCGAACAGCGAUACUGACGUGCAAAUCGUUCAUCUGACUUGGGUAUAGGGGCGAAAGACUAAUCGAACCGUCUUGUAGCUGGUUCCCUCCGAAGUUUCCCUCAGGAUAGGUAGAGCCUAUAGGCGAGUUCUAUCGGGUAAAGCCAAUGAUUAGAGGCAUCGGGGGUGCAACGCCCUCGACCUAUUCUCAAACUUUAAAUAGGUAGGGUGAUGUGGCUGCUUUGUUGAGCCACGCCACGAAAUCGAGAGCUCAGAGUGGGCUAUUUUUGGUAAGCAGAACUACCGAUGCGGGAUGAACCGGAAGUGGGUUACGGUGCCCAACUGUGUGCUAACCUAGACCCUACAAAGGGUGUUGGUUGAUUAAGACAGCAUGACGCUAGUCAUGGAAGUCAAAAUCUGCUAAGGAGUUUGUAACAACUUACCUGCCGAAUCAACUAGCCCCAAAAAUGGAUGGCGCUAAAGCGCGCGAUCCAUACCCAGCCAUCAGGGCAAGGGCCAGGCCCCGAUGAGUAGGAGGGCGUGGCGGUCGCUUCAAAACCUAGGGCGUGAGCCCGGGCGGAGCGGUCGUCGGUGCAGAUCUUAAUGGUAGUAGCAAAUAUUCAAAUGAGAACAUUGAAGGCCGACUAGGGGAAAGGUUCCAUGUGAACGACACUUGCACAUGGGUUAGUCGAUCCUAAGGGACGAGGGAAGCCCGUCUGAUAGCACUCUAAGUGUGCACUCCGAAAGGGAAUUGGGUUAAAAUUACUGAACUGGGACGUGGUGGCUGACGGCAACGUUCGGGUGUCCGGAGACCGCGGCGGGGACCCAGGAAAGAGUUAUAUUUUCUUUUUAACAGCCUGCCCAUCCUGGAAACAACUCAACCGCAGGUAGGGUCCAGUGGCUAGAAGAGCACUGCACGUCGCGUGGUGUCUACUACGCCCCCAAAUGCCCUUGAAAAUCUGGAGGACCGAGUGCCUCCCACGCCCGGUCAUACUCAUAACCGCAUCAGGUCUUCAAGGUGAACAACCUCUGGUUGAUGGAACAAUGAAGGCAAGGGAAGUUUGCAAAAUGGAUCUGUAACCUCGGAAAAAUGGAUUCGUAACCUCUAGUCGAUGGAACAAUGUAGACGACUUUCCUUGUUACACAAACCACACAAAAAAUAGAGUAAUGUGAAGCACAAAAUAGCUCAAAUAUUAUAAAAUAGCUCACAAUUACUAAGAAUAUGUAUAAGAUCAGAAUCAUGAAGAACAUGUAAUUUCUACCCUUAAGAAAUCUCUAAACAGUAAUGAAAGAAUCAUGCAAGAACAAGAUAGGAUGAUGAACACAUUUGAUAAUAUGCAAUGAAUGACAUGUUAAUCUUUAAGCAUAAUACUAUCUCACUCUAAUCUCACAUGCAAUUUUGUCUGCAUAUAUGACAUACAAAGAAUAUGAAAGUAUGCAACUUAGCAGUUCUAAUAUGAAUGUAUUCAUUCGUAUAUGAAAUCUGUUGAAAAUACAGUUUAUAUAGAAAAACAGUUUUGCACCCAGUUAAUCGACUAUGUUGCUUCUUAAUCGAUUAAUGGGUUGUUAGAGAGUAACUGAAUUCUGUUUUUCAGUUAUCUGUUGAAACUGUUAAAAACUAUUUUCACGUUAAUCGAUUAACUAGCAUAUUUUCAAUCUAGGUUUACCUAACCUAGACUCAAUAACUAAGACACAUCUAAGAAUCUAGUCUAGACAUGAAGCUCUUGAAUCUUUGGCAUGUUGAUUUGUUGAGUUGUCUUUAAGCUUUCACUAAGUCCUUUGUCUUCAUUAAAACAUAGGCAAGCUUAAGUGCUCUCUUGACACAUUGCACUUUCAAUCUCCCCCUUUUUGAUGAUGACAAACUCAACACCAAAUUUGUUUUGAUGCAUAGCUUGAAGAUGAUCACAAAAUGAAUGGUUGUUGAUUUCAAAGUUAAAGUGCAUGGCUAGACAACAGAAGCUUAGUAUUAUUUACAACCUGCACACAUUAAACAACAAAACAACCUUUCUCCCCCUUUUGACAUUAUCAAAAAGAUAAACUAAAUGAAACUUUGGUCAAAAGUAAGAAGAGAUAUGAAGUGAACUCAAACUGUAAUUAAUCAAUUAAUUUUG
rnacentral:sRNA from 1 species